GGAAGGGCGGCCUCUCACCUGGAGGAGCACGGCCAGCAGGACGCACAGAUACACCUGGAGAGGUGAGGCAUCAUGCAGCACUCCACUCAGCUGCGUGGCUGAGCACUGACAAACUCAAUUUGCUGGAGGACAGCAUGAGAUGACACGGUGCAGUUGCUGCUGCUGCGAUAUGGACAAAUGGCCGCUUUUGUUCCAAGCAAGACGUCACCUGUCCUGAGGAAGUGCAUCUGUGCAUAGGAAUGGUCUGACAGCCCCAGGCUGGAGUAUGUGUCUCUCCCAACUACUCUGUCACCCAGGAAGCAUAGAAGGGAAGCAAAUCAGAAAGCCAAGAAGAUGCUGGAGAUGGUGAACUACAGCUCUGAAUGACCGUACAACUCACAGAAGCCCGCAUAAAGCCAGUUACAGCUGGCCUAAGGUAUACAAGUAGAAAUAAAAUGGUCUUGAACACUCCACAUGCCGGUGAAAACCUUCCUGCUCAUUCCAGGAGAGGCUGAUACUGGCCAUGACUGGGGAAAAGACAUUGAACUGGGCAGAGUACCUGUGAGGUACCUCCUGUGAGACCCUGCAUGUAAGGAAAGAGCAUUCCCCAUGGCUACAUACACAGACAUCAGAUUUAAAAAUAGCCAAGUUCCACCUCGACUGUGGGUGAGUGAAAGACAGAAGACAGAUGCAUUGGCUGCCAGCUACACUUGACAUCUACUUUUUCUUUCCUCACCCUGGCAGCCAGCAGUUGCACACAUGUGCACAGGUAAGGUCCUCAGUGGCAGAGCACACGGUGUCUGCCUCCCCCUCAAUUCACUGACUGCUGCCUGCCAGCCGUGUGUGUCUGGGAGCCAUGUAAACCCACACUCCCCAUUUAGUGCAUCCGGCAUGUAUAAAAAUCACCAAGUUCCUCCUAUUUGUCCUACUUAAUUCACAAAUUCCUCCCUAGUCAUUUAUGUGUGGGGAUUGCUAUCGAGUUCAUUGUAAAGGUUAACACAUCUCUGUUUCUGGCUUGUUUUGUUAACUCCUUUAGUGCUUGAUCCACAUGGACACUUUCCAUGGCUCCAGCCUGUAUAGUGAUUGUGUGUGCUUGUGCAUGACUGGUCUCACUUUCAGACCCUGGCCCAGGUCAAUUAGAGGUGAUCAGUUUCAAGGAACAGGUCUUGGUCUUGCUUCCUUCCUCUUACCCAGACUGCAGGAGAUUCCUCCUCUUUUUCUUCACUGGCUUUAAUCCACCCACUGUUUAUGCUUCCAACCAAAUUCAUUCAAUGAAAACAUAAGGCACUACUGCCCACAUACUCAAUGCUACUCUUCAUGUGCUCAUCAGCAGUAGAAGCCACAGUAAUUCAGCAAAUUUGGCUAUCUUAUUUGCAAACAUGUUUACAAGCAUGCCUUUAUGCAUUUACCUAAAUCACAUGGAUCACAGAAAAGUCCUUUCCAUGGAAAAUUAUGGAUGCUGAAAAGUCACAUGCAUUCAAAUCACAACUUGACAAAUUCAGAAAAGGAAAAUUCAUCCAAUGCAUUGAACUUUAAUUAACUGGAUGUCAGGGCUCUAUUUGGGGGCAGUAUCACUGUAGAUUUAUGUUAUUCUUACAGGUUUCCCUCUUUUGGUAAUGCUGUAAACAAGAUACCUUUGUCUAACCCACUGCGGACAUUCUUAGGUUUUUACAUGUGUUUUACAUAAUUUUAGUGUCUUUUUAGUCUUCCUAAUAAAUCUGUUCCAGGAGCAUCCAGGCUGCAUUAGGGUCUUGCAGACACUAUAGAGCACAGUAAGUAUUUCUUGUUCUACAUUUGGAGCUUGGCAUGCUAAGCAUCACAUUUCUGGUCCAGGAAGAUGGAUAGGAAGAAUGGAAAAGAUCCCAUUAUCAGAACAGCCUUACAAAUAGAACAGACUUGGUCUCUUCUGCAUAAUGACAAGGCAUUGAAUCUUGUUCAGUUUAACAAAAAGAAGGCUGCAGAAUUGAUAUGGCCACUACUAAUGAAUACUGACCUAGGAAGGACCAACAGAUGUCUGGGUUCACUCAGGCAUGUCUUCUCUUUCUGUCUGAAAUGUUUGCCCAGGUGGAAUUUUCCCAUUUGUCCAAAAUUCCCAGACAUUUGACCUGAGCAUGUAGCUAUGCUCUGCAUGACCAGAAAGUCCAAGCUAAUAACUGAUGUAUGCAGACAUAUCAGCAGUACAGCACACAUGCAUAUGCCUGUUUUAAAAAUCCCACCUAAGCCUGAUAACAUAAUAAAAGAGAACUCUUAAUCCAGAGGCCAACAUAUAGGAAAAUCCCACAGCUGGAUGCUGAAGGUGUGCAUACUCAUUUUUCACAUCAAUGUUUUCAAAAGUGGGGAGAAACAGCUGGUGGAGUAAUUUUCCAGGCAUCAUUGGGAAUCCUCCACCACCAUCAAUGUUUAAACCACAAAUGGGUAUUAUUGCUGAAAAAUGCUCCUAAAGGAAAUUAAGAGGGAAGUCCUGUAGCCUUCCACCUGUGGAGAGAUGCUCACAGUGGUCCCUUCUGCCUUUAAAAACUCCUCAUCAUCCUCCAUUUCUCAAAAUACCCUUCUCUCAGGAGAGCUGUGUAUCUGACAUCACAGGGACAAUCUUUGGAGAGGUCAAGACAACAUGGCGGUGAAGGGGCAUGACCACCCUCAUGAGCACACCUGGCUCCUUACAGUGGCAGCUGGAUCUUAGUGCCAUGUCUCCUCUAGUCCAACAAGCAAAGGAAAAGACUGUAAGUGGAGACCAAGAGACAUAAGCCAAAGGCUGCAAUCAGAUGAAAAAGAAGAUUUUGUCCAAGAGCCAUACAUCUCAACUGGUUUAAACAUAGCAGCCGCUCCCAGGAAAGUCACACUUGUAUUUGUGAUGGAGCAGCUGAGGGUCCUGCCUGUCCCACAAACACUGGCAGACCUCAGCCAGGGUGAAGGCCAGCCAGGUCCUCACAUCUAGACCUGGUGGCCCUAGUACCUCAGUUCAUGGGACACUAUUAUAUUUUUCCCCUUACCCAGCUGCAGGCUGUUCCUGCCAGCAGCCUCAAAGCUCCCGACCUGUUAUUAAAACAGCCUCAGAGAAAGUAAACAUGACCAAUUGAAAAACAAAAAAUAUCACCCAAAUGUCUAAGGAAACCAUGAGCUACAUCCAGCACAGAUUUUUCAAAAGGACAAGGAUUUUCAUGGCUCAGCAUUCUAAUUUGUUUGACCGUUUAUUUCCAAGGAACACAUCCAAGAGUGACAAGCUCCAUUUAUUUCAAUGGGCAGCAUAUGCCAGCAACGUGAAUGGCGUACGCUGUAAAAGAGAAUGGAUGUUCUCAAGCAUCCUGGAAAGCUGUCCUUUCAGCAGACAGAGGACAUGGAGGUAAUAGAAGUGCAGCUCUGCUCUGACAAGCAACACCAUAAAAGCAGCAUCCUGGCUUCUCAUGUUUGAUGUCUCCCCACAGCAGACCUGAGAGAUUUGCUCAAGCUGAAAGUGAAAAAUUAUUACCUAAUAUCUGGCCCAGUCCUGAAGAGAGCAGUUGGAUUCUUUCAUUGUUCUACUUUUCUGGGCCAUAAGGACAUCUCCUUGGGACAUAUGGCUACUUCAGGGUGUUAGUGCUUCACCCUUUUAGACUUUUAGAGGCUACCCACUAACCCAGACUAUCUUCACAAAUGACAUCACCUUCAAAGCAUUGUCUGAUGUGAAUAUGAGAUGUUCACGCAAGAAAGUGCCUUCUUUUCAUAAAAUACCAUCACGAGGCAGCACUGUUUUCUGUCUUGUCUCUUUGUACUACAUCCUGAAGACAAUCCUCUUCUGAAUCUUGCCUUUUCAAAGUCUGAUUCCACUGAAGCCUGAAAAACCAUGAGUUAAGAGUCUCUGUCACAAAUUCAGGAUCACCUAUGACUUGAUAUUGUUUAGUGGGCUGUGACACUUUACUGUAAGUCUCACAGGAGUGGGCAACUUUUAUUGGCUAUCAUGAAUGAAUUAACUAAUAAUAGUUCUGUGUUAGGACUUACCUAGGGAGCAGUCUAGUUCAUAAGGUUUUAUUGGCUUGUCAGCAACACCGGAAGUCAAAAUAGAAUGAUUCUUGACUUGCUUUUCAGUAAGAUGGCCCCAGCAAAGGCUGGGUGUGGCUUUGUUCAUACAGAGUCUUUCUCUGGACACCUUUCAUUCUCAUUAAACUUAAGAGGUUGCUGGAAGGAGCAGUGUGAGCUGCAGUGUUGUCCACAGGAAUCCACUUCCCCUUCUCCUGUACCUCCAGCCAGUCAACAUCUCAAGCCAGGUAAGGAAAAAGAGAUGUUCCUGACUCCCUUACAGCCCUCCAGCAUGGCAAAAUGAAAUCCCGAAUUCUCCUUCAGGAGAUUCAUGUCUACCUGUGCUGCAAGGCUCACUGUCCUGGAUUUAGUCUGCAGUAAGGCCACAGCUAUACAAUACCCCUGGAUGGCCAUUGUACAGGCUGGAGACCCUUGUUGUGAGACUGUUUUUCCUAUUCACUUUCUCUUCAGCAGGUGCAGCUUGUAGGUUGCAGUUCCACCUUUUUUGGAAAAGCCAAAUCAAUGCUGUUCAUGCCAUUGAGGGCAUCUUUGAAACCAUGUAAGAAUAUUAGCUUGUCUUGAUGGCAGUGAGAUGCUUGCUUAGUGAAGAGGCCAACCAUAGACUUGUGGCUGGCUCUGUGUGUAUUUGGGGAUAAAUCAUAAGGUAUCUUUGCAUCUAUGCAGCUUUCUUUGGGACCAUGCUGAUUGCCAACAUGAUGGUCUCCACUUGCUAUGAGCUAUUUCCAAGGGAAAAGACAAAAAAUGUUUGAGGGAAAGCUACAGUCAUCUUCCUUUGUCAAAGUGGAACUUUUCAUUUCCAUCAAAUGCACUUUUGUCUCUCAAUUUCUGAUUGUUUCAGGUGACUUCCAUACCCGGGUCAGUUGGCCCCAUGUAUGUUGAGCUCUCAAAAGCAGCCUCUUGCUCCAGGUGUGAGUGGUGAGAGUCAGGAGAGCUCUCUGCUGGGAGAAUUUGGCCCUGCUUCUAGGCUUUGGGGCUUUAUUAGGUCAAAGAAGAGCCAGGCUGUCAGUUCCAGCAUUUCUGACUGGCAUUUUAAAGCUAAAGAUAUGACUACACCCUGGGUCUUGCAGUUGAUGUGAGAAGAUUUGCAGCAUCUCAGCAGAGAGGUUUGGGAAGACACCCCAGGCCUGUCAUGCCCAGGGCAAACUGGGAUCCUCUAGAUUUAACACAUCUGGUAGUGGAGCAGUGGGGUAAUAGAAUCCCAGUAACCAGUGCUUUACGAGGUGUCAAAAAUGUCCAUCAUAACUGAACAGCCUUGUGAAGCAACUGUGUGGUCUUUUCCUGAAAAUUAAAACUAAAAAGCAAGCCAUAUGAUGACAGCAUCUGUAGCAGAGAGCAGGGUGGCUUGCAUGAAUUAGCAGCUUCCUGGCUGUUAUCUGUGGCAGCCUUAGCCAGCUACUUAUUCCAUCACCUGCAGCUUCUGUGGGCUGAGGCCUCAGACUUACACCUUGGGGAGCACUGCAAGCCAAAGCCCCAGCACUGAGCCACUGUCAAAAAAGAGCUGGAGAAGGUCUCCUCCACAGCUUUCUCACUGACAUCUGGGAUCGUGGCGUUUGAUGGAAUAGGAUCUUGGGUCUUGGAAUGUGGUGCACAGUGACCUUGAAUGGCUCAGAUCCUGAUCUCCAAAGAGCACCUGUGAAGGUUACCAGUAAGGUGGGCUGACUGGGGAUGUGCCACAGCCUCAGUGACUUGCAUCUGAAUCUUCCUGGCAUGUCCCAAUGCAGGCAAGAAUAGAUUAGCCAAGAAUCUGCAGAAGCUCUGCUGAGAUCAUGUUGGAUAUCCAUGGAACCAGUGCCAGUAUGUGGGGUCAGAGCAAGUGAUAGCCUCCUGCUGCCUUGGAGACUUGUUAUGGGUAGGGGAAGAGAGAUAAAUCCCCAAAUUUCCCUGGAAGAAGUGCUCAUUAGGAUCCACUUUCAGGCAUUUCUUUCCCAGGUGGGCCAGGUGUCAUGCAGGGGGGUUAUAUUCUGUGCAACAGUAUCCACCAUUAAAAAAAAAAAAUAGACAAAACCCAAAAUUACUCAGGUAUUACUCAACUCAUUCUUGUUAAGGUCCUGUAAAUCAUAUCAAGUGCAGAAUCUCUCCCCUUUCAGAGAUCUUCCAGCCUGUUGCAUAUGGAUGACCCUCAGGGAUCCCUGCAAGUGUCCUCCUACCACCUCUCCCCCUGUGCUUCCUGCUGAUGGGACCCAGAACAACCCACUGAGCUGCUGGUGAGCAGCAGAAUCAGUUCUGCUCUGUCUUACCCACCCCUCCUGCUGCCCCUUUUUGGGGGCUUCUGGCACAGAAAAGUCCCCACGGAAGAAGAUGAUUACACCCAGAAAGGUGGCCAUGGCACCCUUUUGAAGGGAUCUGCAGGAAGGGUAAUGGGGAUCAGAGCAGAGAAGGCACUGCCAUCUGGCAGGGGCUGGACAGGGUGACAGCAAAAGGAGUCACUUGGGUCACAGGCAUCCCCUGACUCAGGCACGAAGGGGCCUGGCUCCAUCCAGUCUCCUGAGAGCAGAAAAGCCACAGACUCAUGGCUGACUCCCUCGCCUCAUUGUCUGUGCACUGGAGCAGGGAGGGCAGGAGGCAGAGGGAGUGAGGGAGCCCUUUUGUCCCCCUGGCUCUGACAGGUCCGUGCCUGCCAUGCACUGGGAUUGGGGGUAGGUGGGAGACAGGGCAGGGGGACCGCCAAAAUAAACGAGCUAAGAAACCAGUCUGAUGAUUCUGCACAAGCUUGGUGUACAUGAUGCAAAUUGAUGUUUAAAGCUUAUUUAUUAGCUUACAUGCGAAAUGCCAGUGGUGUUUUUCUAGAUCAGUGGGUAUCCAAUAUUUGGGCGGGGGGAGACGACGGCAGUGGGAGCAAGCAUGGCUAGAGACUGUAUAUCCAGAGGCUAGGGUUUAUAUCAUGGGCUGCUCUCGACUGUUAUAAUUUGUGGCACAGAUUCAGCGAGAAUCUGAUCUGCUGAAAAUAUUUGGGCUGUGAAAACUCCCACACUGUGACAGAUGUCAAGUCCAAUUAAGUGACUCGUGUCCAGGUUUCUGUCCAAUAGGCUUUCCCAUUAAAUACCAAUUUAAGAGGGAAAAAAUGCCGCCCCCUUUUCUCCGAGCCUUUAUCUCUUCCGACCAUCUCUAGGCGAAACCCUUUGGUACCAGAAGUGGAGCCACACGCAUCUCUGCUCCGUCUGUCUGUCUCGCCCCUGCCACCUUCCGCACCCCUCCUUGCCUUCUUUGCCGCUCCGGGAGGGGUGGGAGGAGGAACUGCACUUUCUUUUUAUGCAUGUGAGCGUACCUUGUCCUGCACCGCCGUUAUCUCUCACAGCCGCUCCGAACCCGCGCCGAGAUUUUCGUUUAUUUCGUUUUGUUUUUCUUUUUCAGCGUUCGCAUAUUUUCCUUUAUUUUUCACUCGAAAGAUGCAGGAGGAGUUAGGAAGCUCAGGGACGGAUGGGGGUUUCGUUUAUCCUUUUUUUUCUCCCCUCGCCAGUUCUUGAAGGACCAGAAGAAGAACUAAACCAAACAUUCAUUUUCCGACGGCGUCUCCCCAGCUCCUGCCCCUCUCCGCCGGACCGGUGAAUUAACAAAACCUCACGUUACAACC